ACACCCACUUGGAGUCACACAUCCCUCCCUCCCGCCCUGCUUGCUGCAGCUUUGCCAAAUGCAAACAUUUUCACAGCAUCAGCCUCUGAAUUUGUGCAGUUGGCUUCAGAUACCUGAGGUGGUUGGUUUGUUCUGAAAUCCUCUUUCAUUCUGUUUGGUGCCUGCUGCCGGACCCCAUCCACACACACUUCUCCAUCAACUGAAUGAAUUGUGGAGGGCCUUGCAGAAAACAUGCAGCAUCGGAACAUUUGCAGUUUAUCAUAGGAGCUUUCAAGAGUUGUUGUCAGCACGGUAUGCAAGAUGUACACAAACCACCCCCAGCAACUGCUCCUUCCUGAAUGGUCUGUCCUGAAAUGACAGCAGUGUGUGGAGAUGCCUGGCCUGGCACAGAGCUGCAGUGGGAGGCAAAGCUCAGCCCGCUGCCAGCUUGAGAGGCAUGGGGUUGGAUGAGGAUAACGCACCUGCACAAGAACAUCUGCUCCUCCAUACCCAGCGCUGGGUGCAGGAUGUGCAGCACACUGUGGGACUGUGGCUGCCCGUGCCUGGCUGAGGAGAAGGCAGCAGCUCUGCUCCCUUCCUGCUGCGGAGGAGGCUCCAGCUUGGCACUGCCAGGUCAGUGCUUUCUAGGGGCCAUGGUUUUCAUCCUGUGGUUUUGGGAAGACAAUGAGUGAGCUGGACAGAGGCAGGAGAGCUGCCCAUGCUGCUUCUGACUUGGGUUUUGGCCACACUGGGCACCUCCUCGGCUGUGCUUUCAGCUCCCUUCCAUCUUUCUUCCCAUGCAGCUGCUGUUUAGACCCUGCUGACAUCGUGUCACUGUGCUCACUGCCUUACACAUCCCCUGAUUUCCUUUCCCCUCUUCCUCCAGUAGCAGGAGAGAUCUCUGUCAGGUCAAGAUCCUAUACAUGUAGCAGAGGCACAAUGGAAUAUUUUCCCAAAGCUCCAGCUCCUCUAGUCUGGUGUGAGCAUUAUGCUGUCAGACACCUCAGCCACCACAUUAAAAAAUAAUUUGGGGGAAAAAAAAUGUAUCUUGGGAGUGGAGUCAUCAGGAUUCCCCUAUGGUUUGUAGCUGAGCUUAAACUGAAACUCAAUAGGUUCAGGAUUUAUCCUCCCUUCCUUUCCCUGUAAUCAAACACCUGCCUAACGAGCCUUGUUUAAUCAAGUAUCUUCUGUAUAGUAACAAGAGGAAUGCAGAUCUCCUCUGCUCAGCCAGGGCUCGCUGUGGCUGUGCAGAUCAAUAUGCAGUGACUCACAAGGGGACAAGGCUGGCUCUAUGGCAAUGCCAAGAAUGCUGGUGUUUGUCGUUAUAUGAUUUUUUUUUUUCUGUGAUGAGAUUAGCACCGAAGGUUUUUUUUCCUUUGGAGGAUCCCUAAGGUAGUGUCUCAUUAUGUAAAGCAUCCAAACAGCAAAGGCCUGUUGCUCUUCAGCUAAUUAGCCCCAACCUUUCAGUUUCCCCACCUGGAGGUGGGCAAGAUUUGUGGGAGAGGUGGCCCAGGUCAGCUUGUGCCUGCAGAAAGCUAGAGAAGAUCCGGGCACUAAGAGUGGAUGCUGUCAGCGAGCCUACCUGUGGAUGGGGGUUCAGAGCAGUUUAAGAUGUUUCCUAGGGGCACCUGAGGUGCUUGGUGUGGUUGGCAGGAAACACUUCCCCAGCAGAGUGGCUGGAAUGAUCAGCAUUCACUCUGUCUUGGCCUCAGGUAAUUAGCAACUUCCUGGUCUGCGCCCUCAGCCUGCCCUGCAGAUAAAGGCUGUAAUGCUGUUUGAUUGUGAUAACAGAGAGCCAGACCUGGCCCUCCUCUUUUUGAAUCUUAAUCUCCUGAUGCAGUGACUUCACACUGUAGUAGGGGAGGACACUUCUCAAACUGGGGUCCUGUGACUGCGUGCCUUCAAGUUGAAGCCUCUCUGAGCUGCUGAUGGUGGAAGAAGCAGCCUCCAAAUAUGCCAGCCUGCAAUAUCUGCGCUGGGGAGCUGUGGCCUCGAUCCUUGCAGAGCCUUUUGUGGUGUGCAGCUGCUUUGAGCUCUGCUGUAACUUGAAAAGCUUUGCAGCCCAGAGCUGGGGAACUGGGCUGAUGCUGUCCUUGGCUCCAAAGCCUUCCUAGAUGGUGCCAGCUGUCAAACAACUCCUGAGUAACGAGAGCCUUCCACGUCAACCAUUCGUUCCUGUUCCCUGGAGCCUGUAGGCCAGCUUCACUUCCCUCAGCCACAAGCACAGUGUCCCUGCUGAGGGGAUACACACUCAGUUAUCCCCUUUCCUUGUGCAGCUCUGAUGUGCCAAACCAGGGCCAGGCCCCUCCUGGGACGCUGCCUCCCCUCCUGAGCAUCUGUGCAGCUUGGUCUUAUCAAAUGUUUCGAUUUCUGCGAAAUCUGGUUUGUCAGACAUGGUGGGUCCUGACAAAGAAAGGGAAAGCACACCCGGCUCUGUUAGCUCGUGCUGUGCUAUUGGCCAUCUGCAAGGCAAAGUCUGCUGCAAAAGUGAAGAAAUGCGGUAAAAGUGUUUAUUCAAAAACAAACACAGAUCUCACGCCUCAAUCUGGGACCGCUCCCCAAAGCUUGGUGCUCUCAGAGCAGAAGAGGAAAGACGUGAGUAGAAUUUAAUAUAGAUUUCUCAGCAUCAGUUUCUAAAAGUCAUAUUUUGAACACAGAAACAAAACUAAAUACAGACAAUGCAUUCAGAGAAUAACCCACAGUACCUCCUGACCUGAACUGCUUCUUUGAGGAAUGCUGAUACCCAGAAAUUCUGCAGUAAGCCACAAAUCCGACAUGCACAAAUAGUUUCAAUAACGGUUUUGUUUUCAUUAAUAGGCUUUUUCUAUAAUUCUGAGUACACUGCCCUAAGUCGGUCCCGCAGCAAGGGGGAUUAGCUGCUGUGUGCAUUUGUGCCCGACAAUAGGAGGGCUGCUUCGCAGGGUCCUUUGUUUGCUCUCGCACUCAAUAUUUGAGUCGGUGCAUUCGAUUGGACCCCAUUAUAACAGAUAUUCACAAAGCACACCAGCAUUAAACGCUGCACUGGCAAACCAUCCCUCAUCGAGUUCCCAUUUUUAAUAGGAAUUCAAGCUAAAAUCCAUCCCAUGCAUUGUUCUGCUGAGCUCAGCAGAGGUUCUACCAAGGAUGGAUCGGCCUGCGGGCUGCUGGCAGGCGUAUACCUCUUCCUUCCUUAAGGCAACCUGAUUCUAUUCCUAUCUGCUCUGAGACAACAGAAGUAAAUAUUCACAAGGAAAAAAAAAAAACAAAACAUCAAAAAAAGCCAAAGCAAAGCUACUGAAAGCACAU